GACGAACGCUGGCGGCGUGCUUAACACAUGCAAGUCGAACGGAAAGGCCUCUUUCGGGGGGUACUCGGGUGGCGAACGGGUGAGUAACGCGUUAUUAACCUGCCCUUGACUUUGGGAUAACGUCAGGAAACUGGUACGAUACCUGGUGGGAAGUCCUUCCGCAGAGGGGGGGGUUGGAAUUUUCUGCGGUUGGGGAUGGGGUCGCGGCUUAUCAGGUUGUUGGUGGGGUAGUGGCUUACCCAGGCGUUGACGGGUAGCCGGCCUGAGAGGGUGAACGGCCACAUUGGGACUGAGACACGGCCACGACUCCUACGGGAGGAAGCAGUGGGGAAUAUUGCACAAUGGGUGGAAGCCUGAUGCAGCACCGCCGUGGGCGGGAUGACGGCCUUGGGGUUGUAAUCCGAUUUCGCUCAUGACGAAGCUUUGUGUGACGGUAGUGGGUAAAGAAGCACCGGCUAACUCCGUG
rnacentral:rRNA from 1 species